UGGGGAAUAUUGGACAAUGGGCGAAAGCCUGAUCCAGCCAUGCCGCGUGUGUGAAGAAGGUCUUCGGAUUGUAAAGCACUUUAAGUUGGGAGGAAGGGCAGUUACCUAAUACGUGAUUGUUUUGACGUUACCGACAGAAUAAGCACCGGCUAACUCUGUGCCAGCAGCCGCGGUAAUACAGAGGGUGCAAGCGUUAAUCGGAAUUACUGGGCGUAAAGCGCGCGUAGGUGGUUAGUUAAGUUGGAUGUGAAAUCCCCGGGCCCAACCUGGGAACUGCAUUCAAAACUGACUGACUAGAGUAUGGUAGAGGGUGGUGGAAUUUCCUGUGUAGCGGUGAAAUGCGUAGAUAUAGGAAGGAACACCAGUGGCGAAGGCGACCACCUGGACUGAUACUGACACUGAGGUGCGAAAGCGUGGGGAGCAAACAGGAUUAGAUACCCAUGUAGUCCCUGAGCGGGCUGGCAAGGCGCAU
rnacentral:rRNA from 1 species